AUGAAGGUACUGCUACUCGGUGUGGUAGGACUCCUGGGCUUCAGUCUGGCUGGAGCUCAGAAUGUGACUAAAUGCUCCCUGAAGAGUCAGCUGAAGGAGAAAAUCGACAACCUGCCAGAGAAAAUUAAGCAAGCAGGACUGACUGCAGACACCUUCGUGGCCAAGCUUGUCUGUUAUGUGGAGAACGGUUCAAACUUCAGCACCAGUGCUGUGACUGAGCUGAGUCAUGACCGUGGAAGUCCUGCCAGCGGGCCCAGCCGGAAGCGCCGCGACACCCUCGAUUUGCUGAGCAAUGGGGACGAAAAGAAGAACGCGACCCUUUACGGCCUUUUCCAGCUCCCCGGGGACCCAGUUUGCAAUGACAACAACAGUCCCAAUGUGUGUGGCAUGGACUGCAGACGCUUGACCGAUGACAAGAUAGACGACGACAUCCACUGUGUGUUGACUCUCAUCGCCAAAAUUGUCGAACAAGGCUUUGGAGCUCAGAACAUCCAGGAGUUAACAAAAGUGUUCAGGCUCAUGAUGCAGCCGCAGUGCAAAAACGCCCACUAUGACGUCUACUUCCACGAGUGUCACUAGUUUCUUACAGUUAGCUCCUUAAACGCCGCUGGACUGCUCAGGCUUGUUUCUCAGCAGUGAUGAAUGAAUAAAAGCAUGAAGCAUGUAGCUCCUGUUGUUGAUGAUGUUGAAAGUAGUAAAACUUGUUUUCCUGUUACCUGAAUAGAUCAUUAAACUGCCCCCGUGCUCCAUGGCUGGAGACUGAUGCCACCUGAGGGCCAUGCAGGCUCACAUUAUUCUCUCUCUCUCUCUCUCUCUCUCUCUCUCUCUCUCUCUCUCUCUCUC
rnacentral:lncRNA from 1 species